rnacentral:rRNA from 1 species
CAUUUUGAACCGCAUGGUUCGAAAUUGAAAGGCGGCUUCGUAGCUGUCACUUAUGGAUGGACCCGCGUCGCAUUAGCUAGUUUAGGUGAGGUAACGGCUCACCAAGGCAACGAUGCGUAGCCGACCUGAGAGGGUGAUCGGCCUUUAACACUGGGACUGAGACACGGCCCAGACUCCUACGGGAGUGCAGCAGUAGGGAAUCUUCCGCAAUGGACGAAAGUCUGACGGAGCAACGCCGCGUGAGUGAUGAAGGCUUUCGGGUCGUAAAACUCUGUUGUUAGGGAAGAACAAGUGCUAGUUGAAUAAGCUGGCACCUUGACGGUACCUAACCAGAAAGCCACGGCUAACUACGUGCCAGCAGCCGCGGUAAUACGUAGGUGGCAAGCGUUAUCCGGAAUUAUUGGGCGUAAAGCGCGCGCAGGUGGUUUCUUAAGUCUGAUGUGAAAGCCCACGGCUCAACCGUGGAGGGUCAUUGGAAACUGGGAGACUUGAGUGCAGAAGAGGAAAGUGGAAUUCCAUGUGUAGCGGUGAAAUGCGUAGAGAUAUGGAGGAACACCAGUGGCGAAGGCGACUUUCUGGUCUGUAACUGACACU